UGGGGAAUUUUGGACAAUGGACGAAAGUCNGNUCCAGCCAUGCCGCGUGCGGGAAGAAGGCCUUUGGGUUGUAAACCGCUUUUGUCAGGGAAGAAAUCCUUUGAGCUAAUACCUCGGGGGGAUGACGGUACCUGAAGAAUAAGCACCGGCUAACUACGUGCCAGCAGCCGCGGUAAUACGUAGGGUGCAAGCGUUAAUCGGAAUUACUGGGCGUAAAGCGUGCGCAGGCGGUUAUGUAAGACAGAGGUGAAAUCCCCGGGCUCAACCUGGGAACUGCCUUUGUGACUGCAUAGCUUGAGUGCGGCAGAGGGGGAUGGAAUUCCGCGUGUAGCAGUGAAAUGCGUAGAUAUGCGGAGGAACACCGAUGGCGAAGGCAAUCCCCUGGGCCUGCACUGACGCUCAUGCACGAAAGCGUGGGGAGCAAACAGGAUUAGAUACCCUGGUAGUCCACGCCCUAAACGAUGUCAACUGGUUGUUGGGAAGGUUCCUUCUCAGUAACGUAGCUAACGCGUGAAGUUGACCGCCUGGGGAGUACGGCCGCAAGGUUG
rnacentral:rRNA from 1 species